rnacentral:rRNA from 1 species
GAUGAACGCUGGCGGCGUGCCUAAUACAUACAAGUCGAGCGAACAGAUGAGAAGCUUGCUUCUCUGAUGUUAGCGGCGGACGGGUGAGUAACACGUGGGUAACCUACCUAUAAGACUGGGAUAACUCCGGGAAACCGGGGCUAAUACCGGAUAAUAUUUUGAACCGCAUGGUUCAAUAGUGAAAGGCGGUUUCGGCUGUCACUUAUAGAUGGACCCGCGCCGUAUUAGCUAGUUGGUAAGGUAACGGCUUACCAAGGCGACGAUACGUAGCCGACCUGAGAGGGUGAUCGGCCACACUGGAACUGAGACACGGUCCAGACUCCUACGGGAGGCAGCAGUAGGGAAUCUUCCGCAAUGGGCGAAAGCCUGACGGAGCAACGCCGCGUGAGUGAUGAAGGUCUUCGGAUCGUAAAACUCUGUUGUUAGGGAAGAACAAAUUUGUUAGUAACUGAACAAAUCUUGACGGUACCUAACCAGAAAGCCACGGCUAACUACGUGCCAGCAGCCGCAGUAA